CCUACGGGUGGCUGCAGUGGGGAAUAUUGCACAAUGGGCGCAAGCCUGAUGCAGCCAUGCCGCGUGUGUGAAGAAGGCCUUCGGGUUGUAAAGCACUUUCAGCGGGGAGGAAGGCGGUGAGGUUAAUAACCUCAUCGAUUGACGUUACCCGCAGAAGAAGCACCGGCUAACUCCGUGCCAGCAGCCGCGGUAAUACGGAGGGUGCAAGCGUUAAUCGGAAUUACUGGGCGUAAAGCGCACGCAGGCGGUCUGUCAAGUCGGAUGUGAAAUCCCCGGGCUCAACCUGGGAACUGCAUUCAAAACUGGCAGGCUAGAGUCUUGUAGAGGGGGGUAGAAUCCCAGGUGUAGCGGUGAAAUGCGUAGAGAUCUGGAGGAAUACCGGUGGCGAAGGCGGCCCCCUGGACAAAGACUGACGCUCAGGUGCGAAAGCGUGGGGAGCAAACAGGAUUAGAUACCCGUGUAGUC
rnacentral:rRNA from 1 species